CUCCUAAGGUCACACAGCUACAACUUGGCAGAAUUGAGAUGUGACCCUAGAUAAGCUGGUUUCAGAGCCUGUGUUCUUAGCUGCUACACUUUGAUCUUCCCUUCACACGUGGUUAUUGUUUGAUUUUUCUCCUUAUUGUCAAGCGCCUCAGAUGAGUAGCUGUUUUCAUUGAUUUUGCUUAUCCUGCACUUAUUUUCCUUUUGGUAUCUCUAAGUAGCUUUAGUUUUUCACCUCUACUUCUGGAACCUCUCCUCAUGAUCACCACUGAUUUUAUAGACAAUGCAGUGGGUUAUUUCAGUUAUUAUUUCUCCUUAAUCUGUUUCUGGCUUUUGGUACUGACACCCAUUUGUAUGGAUUUCCAACCUUGACCUCUGUGAUGCUGACUUGCCUCAUUUUCCUCUUACCUCACUGAGGCUCCUUGGUUUUCUUCUUUCCCUUCCCAUUCCUUAAACCAUUGCCAUCACUUGGCUUGAGUUUGGAUUUCAGUGUGUUACAAGAAGCUACUUAAUGUUAAUUUCAUAUUCAAACCAGAACCAAUAGAGGCAUUAAGUACACAAUUCUGUGGCCUUUUUCUUUUGUGUGUUGUGAAGUCACAGAGGAGUCUGAGUAACAUCCCAGUUUGUGCUCUGCCUUGUACAAGGAGGAAAAGAGAAUGAGGACCAAGGGAGGGACUCUGGGUACAUUCUGUGUUCCCGCAGUGUGCUAAGAGCUUUAAAUGCAUUGUUUCAUUUAAAUUCUCCUGUGUGAGAUUGGUUGUUGUUACCCUUGUUUUCCAAAUGAAGACACUGACUUCUUGUGAUGAACCACUAAUAGAACUGGGGUUGAAACCUUCAUCUAACUUGCUCUGACAGCCAGGUUCUCUCCUCUGGACCACCUGGGUCAAGCCCCCACUUUCUUAUCUGUUAAGUGAAAGAACUGGGCAAGAUAAUUUUUUUUUUUUUUGCGGUACGCGGGCCUCUCACUGCCGCGGCCUCUCCCGUUGCGGAGCGCAGGCCCCGGACGCGUAGGCUCAGCGGCCAUGGCUCACGGGCCCAGCCGCUCCACGGCAUGCGGGAUCCUCCCGGACCGGGGAACGAACCCGUGUCCCCUGCAUCGGCAGGCGGACUCUCAACCACUGCGCCACCAGGGAAGCCCGGCAAGAUAAUUUUUAAGGUCCAUUUCAGUACCAUCAUUCUGAUUCUAUUGCAAACUAGCUGUCCUUAGCAGUAGUUGCUUCUAAUAUUUGAAAAAGGAAGCUGCCAUCCCACUCUAGGAAAUGUCCUGUUUUAUUAAGACCAAGAGUAUUAACAUGUGAUUUGUAGAAGUUGUGAAGUAGGGCAAAGGCACUUAAAGUAGUCACGAUGAUAGAUCUUCAUAUAAGUUUCAAGAGAGCCCCAUUACCUCCAAAUGAGGCUGCUGCCCAGAACAUUAGAGGCUGUGGCUUUUGUUGACGGGCACAGGAUAAUAGGUUUGGAACAAUUUCAGUCUAAACAAAGGGCAACGCUGUUAUUCCAUUAUACUCCCUGUUGAGAGCAUUUGCUUCCAGAGUAUUAGGAAUCCCUUCUUUCCUUUAAGGGAAUUUAGUGUGAGAUUCGCAAGAAGAUAGUGAAAAUAUAUUUUAACGAUAAGAUUUAUCGUAAUGUGGUUUGACAUCUUUAGAAUGCCAAUGGACAACCCUAAAAUGAUUAACUAUCAUGUGAUUUGCCUACAUGUUGUCUUCAAACAUGUAAAUAGGUGGUUUAAAUGGAUACCAACAUCUUCUUUUGGUUUACAGUACCCAUAAAAUACCGAGCAAGUGUUCCUACAUAUGUGUAUAUCUGCAGAGUAAGUACAUUUCUAGGCUCUGUAGCAUCUAUAGCAUCUAUUUAUGUUACCUUCUUUACUCAAAAUCAUCCUGCAGCUUUUCCUCAUUCAUGCCUUAUUUUUGAAAAAUGGGAAAUUGAAAGGGAGAUGUCUCUUUUUUAACCUUUAGUUUUAUUGGCUUUCCCUGCACGGGAAACCUCAGCUCCCCCGUUUUCCUACUGCCUCUCUGGCCACGCCUUCAUUUGGUUUAGGUGAUUCUUCCUCUGUCCAAGCUCUAAAUGUUGAUGCCCCCAGGGUUUGAGGCUGGGCUCUUCUACCUCAUGCCUUUUUCCUAUAUAAUGUCAAGUACCCCAGAGCUUCCUAUGCUGUCAAGUGAUGAUAGCUUCCCAAUUUUUGUUUCUAGGUCUGAUUACUGCCCUGAUUGCUUACUUAUCUCAUGCCUGUUUAGGUCUGGAAAGUAUUUCAAGCUAUUCUUAGAUUACAACCCCCCCUUCAAAGUAAGACACUUUACAUCACAACCCAGUACACACAUACGUUACUUUGAAAGAAACUAAAGUUUCCAAGAUAGUAGUUACCCUUAAAACAUAACGUUUGCUCAUGUUUUCAAAGGUAUUGAUGGACUUAAUUGAAAAAUGCUGUCUGUAACCCACAACAUUGGUCUCUGCCUUGUUAGUUGAUUGUGAACCACUCUUUGAAAAACACUGUUCUUGAGCCGAAGUAGAUAUUUGAGAUAUUUCAUGUUGUGGGGAGCCUGCCCACGUGUUUGGAGACCAUAAAUAUUUAGAGUGCAGUAAAUAAUUAUAAAAUGAAAGAAGGCAUGGACAGAUUCCUUGCUUUUCCCUAUAUCAGGAAACCAAAAUUUCUUGGGCUGUUUCUGCUCUUAUCUAGGUCACUGAUAAUCCAACCACUAGCUGGAUGACCCUCCUAAGAAAUUGCAUUUUUGCCCUUUUUCUGUCUGAGCAAGAUCUGGAUAAAUCGAAUUACUAAUGACUUAAAAAAUUUUGAAAUGAAACCAGUCAGAAUUCCCAGGUCCAAAACACAUGUCUGGUCCAUUUAUUUUUUUAAUCUCCAAAUGCUGACUUAAGAGAUUUUGGUAUCCCCAAACAAAAUAUGUGUGUUCUAAGUGAAUCACUGAUUUUCAUAUAACUGAGGUAAGUCACUCUGGUUUCAGUUUGCCUCUUUUUUCCCCUGAGGUUCAAGAUGAAAAGCUCUGUGUUUUUUGUUUGUUUUUUUAAACUACCUGUCCAGUCAGUAGAUCUCUGACACCUGCUUGAGCAAAGUUGCUAAAAUGAGGAAAAGUAUUUUCUCUAUUUUCAACUGUGUCCUCCUCUCCCCACACCACAGGGGACACUGCAUACAGGGAAGGUGGUUGAUUGGAGUUCUGUGCGGCCGACCAGAUGGAAAAGGUUCAUUGCAGACAACACCACCAGUUGAAAAGCCUAUCCCACAUAAGGGAGUCACUAUGGAAUCAGAGCAAGCUUUUGGUUAUUCAGAAUUGUUUAUUAUUUAGAGUUGAUUCCUGUGUUGUUCUGAGACCUGAAGACCCAGUGGUUUUAGUAACAAAUGUGGCAGCCCUGGUGAGCUAAAUCUCUUAUUCCCUGUUAUAAACUUUAUCUUAUAUAACAACAAAAAGGAUCUUGGAUCAUAGGUAAGUGAAAGUCCGAGUUACUAUUGCAGAAUGAAACAAUCUCAUCAUUGGAUUAAACUCAAGUACAUUCUUUUAAGAUGUGCUAAUAAGUGAGCAUUCUGUGUUAACUACUAUUUUAUAUAAUAGCUAAAAAAAAAAAAAAACCUCAAAAGUUGUUGUAAUAAAUGUGUGCUUUCUGGUUGGCUAAAAUUGAGUCUUCCUGGCAUCAGGCUUAGGUGACUUGGAGGUUAGGCGGAACUUAUUUGGUUUGGGCACCCAAUUCUUUCAGAAACAUUUUAAUAUCUUACAAAGGUAUCUUUGGACUUGGACAGCCCUGUGUAUGUCUGCUUACUUGAUCGGUGAUUUGUGAUUUUCCUGACUUCGGGACAUUAGUUUUUCCCCUUGUAUAUAUACCUCCUCAGGCACAGAUCUGUAUGCUUGUGUAAGAACCAGCCACCUUGCUAAAUAAGGUACAAUUCCUGUCUUCUUUCAGAAACUGUUAGUCUAGUAGGGGAGACCUUAUUAAGAUUUAAAAUAUUAUUAAAUAUGAAUUUUAUCUAAUAAAGUUAUUUUUUAGAUUAAGCAAGAGUCAAGUGGUUUAAGUGGUUCUUCUUUUUCCAUCAAAGAUUUUGUUAAGCAUUUAGGUUGCUAAAUUUUACCAAAAGACUAGAAAACGGAAGCUGUAGCAUAAAUGAGGUAAUAAAACACUCCAGCUUAAAACUCAAAUGGCUAUCCAAUUGCAUUUAAAAUAAAAUAACUAAUGAAAUAACUUCUAAGGCCUAAAUAAGUUGACAGGGUUUUUUUUUUUUUGCAACUUCUAUACACUGGAACUUGGAUCGUAUAGAACAGAUUAUCUGAGGCGUCCUUAUUGUUAGACCAUUAUUUUUCACUUUUGGAAAAAAAUGUCAAAGAACACUCACAUUUUUGUUCUUAUAUUUUAAAUUUGCAAAUGCUUUGUGAACCACCCAUUUUUCAAAGCUUUAUUAAAAUAAUAGAAGUAAUUAAACCACAUUAUGAAAACAUUUGCAAGUUAGUGGGGAAAAAAAUCAGUCUAUACUAUCACGUUAACCAACCGUAGUCACAGUUUGAGUUUUUUUCCUUUUUGUAAUUUUUCUUUGCAUUAAAAAAAGAGUUUCUAAAAUCUGUACGGUUUUAUAUCCAGCCCUUUUUGGUUUGACAUUGUAUGAAAAGCAUUUUUCAUGUUCUAAACAUUUUAUAAUUAUUUAUAAUGACCAAUGGAUUUAUCAUAUUUUACAUGACGUUUCUCUUAUUUUGGACAUACGGGUAGUUUCUAGGUUUUCACUUUAUGAAUAAUUGUCAGAUGAGGAACUUUGCACGUGUGCAGUGAGCAGCCCCCUCUACUCUGUUAUAUUUUAAUUUUUUUUUACCUUAGUAUAGAACUUCCAGAAGAGGAAACUGGGGGCCAAAGGGCAUGUGGAUGUUUUUAUGGCUCAUUUUGCGUAAUGUCAAACCGCCUACCAGUUUCAAAUACCUCUUACCAGCUCUAGAUAUUACCAUAGUUUUAUAUUUUCGCCAGUUUUAACAAGUUGCCAAAAGUUUGCCAUAAACAGGUUACCUGUUUUAAUGUGAAAAAUUUGGGUUACUGAGGAAAUUAAAUAUUUCCCCACAUGUUUCCUUAUUUGUCACAUUUCCUAUUUUAUGAAUUAUAUUCCUGUCCUCCUCUUCACCUGUUGGGGAAGGUCAGAUAAAGGGGCACAGUGGUGGAGAGCAUGUGCUCUGGAGACAGGAGGGCCCAGUCCACACCUCGCAUCUGCCCCAGGAAUGGGGAAUGUGGGCAGGUGCUGGUACCUAUCUGAGAUUCUAACUGCCAUUUGGGGACAUUUGGAAGAUUUUUUUUUAUUUUUAGAAAUUCAAACUUUUUUUUUUCCACUGUGAUUUCUAAAUUUAGAAGACUUUCCUGACCUUUCCAGAAGUUUAAUACUUAGUUUUAUAUUUUUUUCUAGUUUAAAAAUUCUUUUAUCUCCUUCACUACCUAGAUUUUAUUUUACAUUUUAAACUCUUUUAAAAAUGAUGACUUUCCCAAGUGUCAGUUCUUACUAUGAAGACAUAACUCACACUGUUCAGGAAUGAAAUUUCUCAUGUCUGAAAUUUUAAAAUUGGCACUGUUAUUUGUAGUACAACUAAAUGUUCAGCAGUUUACUGGGAUGAUGAUGUUGCUAAAUAAUAUGUUUAUUGCUUUACUUAAAUUGCUUUUAUUUUAGAGGGAACCAGGUCAGAAUGUAUUAGGUAUAUUGGCUAGUGUUUGGCAUGGUGAUUUAUUAGAGUUUGGAUAUUAUAAACAGUUUUAUUUGUUCAGAAAUAGGUGAGAUAUUUAUCUUUGAUUUUUUUUUUUUUUUUUCCUAAAGAUGAGUUUUAUAUAGGAAUCUGCACCUGGGAAUCACAUGGCCUUGUAUACAGUUGUGUCCAGGGAGCAAUUAGGAGGGCAAUCUGUUAAAUCUUUGCCUCAAGGCAAAACCAUUAGGUGUGCUAUGUAUGAGCCUCAAGGGGUGUAAAUAACCAAAGCAUUCAUGUAAUAGUCAGUUUCCUUUCAUUUCAAGGCAUCUGUAAAACCUUUAAUCUGUGGAAGAAUCAGAGUAAAUUGACCUAUUGGAUCCACAGAUUAUUCUCCCUUACCUGAUUAUUUUGAGAAAGUAUAUUUCAGAAUUUACGAAUUACUGGUAAACAUUAGGCAUAUGAACUUAGAAUUGCAUUUUCCAUUUUGAUGUGAGCAUCCUAAAGUUCUGUUAUGAUUUAAAUGUAAGCAGAUCGCUCUUAAGAAAUCAUUUAUGUCUGCAUGAAGGCUGUUUUUGGGUUUUUUGUUUUUGUUGUUUUAAGGGAUUUAUUGUUAAGUUUUUUGUUGUGAUUUAUUAGAGAUUAUCUUUAGGGGCAAAUAAAUGCCAGUUACAGAUCGCUGAGUUUUCUCACUACCAUAAGAUCAUCCUCAGAAAUGAGCAGCGUUCCAGUUUUUUUCCUGUAUUAAUUUGGGGGCAUUAUUGAAAGGAAGGAAUUAUUUGUUUCCCUUAGUACUAGUGUUCAUAAAUACCAUUUAAACAUGGGGAAAUCUCUUCCACCUUAAAAAAAAAUCCUCCUUUGACACAGAACUUUCCUGUUCCAUUCUUUUCCUCAGUGACCUCCCCCCACCCCCAUAUUCAAAUUUCUUGAAAGAGUGAUCACACUCUAUUUCUUCACUUCCCACUUCACUCUUCAGCCUCCUGCACUCUGGUCUCUGUCCCAUCACUCCACUGAAGCUGUCCCUGUUAAGGGUACCAGUGUUACUAAAUGCAGUGGGCUCGCUCUCCUCGUUCUUCAUCUUAUUUGACAGCACAACAACACUCAACAAAGCUGACAACUCUUUGUAGUAACACAGUCUUGACUUUCAUAAAAUCCGAGCUCUCCUGGUUUUUUUCUUACCUCUCUGGUAAGUCCAGUCUUCUUUGCAGGGUCACUUUCCUCUACCUGCUUUUCUGGGCCCCUUUUCUACUCUUAUUUGCUCUCAAAACUCCGCAUACCAGCUUUAAAUCUUUACUUCUGAGCUCUAGACUCCUGUUGUCUACCUGUUCAGUAGAUGUCUUCACUGGCUUGUUACACUUGUACUUCAAACUUGUUAUUUCCUUCUAAAUCUGCCUUUCCCUAUAUGUUCACUAGUUCUGUAAGCGGCACCACCGUACAUGGAGUUGUUUAAGCCCGGAAAUCAUCAGUGUCUUACCAUUUCUACCUCUUGGAUAUCUUUUUUUUUUUUUUCGCGGUAUGCGGGCCUCUCACUGUUGUGGCCUCUCCCGUUGCGGAGCACAGGCUCUGGACGCGCAGGCUCAGUGGCCAUGGCUCACGGGCCUAGCCGCACCACGGCAUGCGGGAUCUUCCCGGACCAGGGCACGAACCCGUGUCCCCUGCAUCGGCAGGCGGACUCUCAACCACUGCACCACCAGGGAAGCCCCUCUUGGAUAUCUCUUAAAUGAAUCCUUUAUUCAUCACUGCUGCUACUACCCUAAGUCUAACCAUCAUUGGUCUGGUUCACUGCAAUAACUUUUUCUCUAUCUACCUUUGCCACACUACAGCUAACCCAGCCUCUGUACUGUACAUAAGUGAUUUUUAAAAAGCAGUUAUGAUCAUAUUCUUUCCCUAUUUAAAAUCCCUUUAAGGCCAAAGUCAAAUUCUUUCUGUCGUUGCUCAUGAUCUGGCCCUGCCUACAUCUUUAAUCUCAUAUCCCCCCCACCCUUGAACAGAGAGAACACGUUUCUCUUUUGAUACCUAAGAUUUGUAGCAUUAAAAUUACAGGAUGUAGUAGACAUGAAUGUUUUAGUUUUAAAAUAUUACUUAUAAAAAUUAUUGUUCUUCAUUGUUAUGUAUUCUUUAUUAAUAUGUAGGCAGCCCAAUUUAUGCAUACAUGUCAGAUGAGGUAGUGUAUAUUAAGGUGUUUGUAAAUUAUAAAUAUUAAUGUAAAAUACUUUUUCUACUUUUUGCUCCCAUUCAUCAUUCCUUUUGCUUCCAUCUACAUGAUGAUACAAUGUACUGUACAUGUGGAAACAAUUCUAUAGGAAUGUUGGGGGUAGAAUGAACAUGAUUUUCCAAUUUAGAGUGUCCUUUGAAUUGGAAAUUAGGAAACAGUCCAUAAAAUAAACUAUUAUGAUAGGAGUGAUGUGCUCAGAAGAAAAGGUUGCUUAGACCCUGGUCUGGAUCAUCUGUAGAGGUCUUUUUCAGUUCUUUACUCCUGUGUCUUUAACUUUAAUUUUAAGAAAACAUAUGGUGACCAUGGAAUUUUUUAUUUAUAUUUAAUUUAUGGAUAAACUCAGUGAAUAUGCUAUUUUAACAGUACUUAUGGCAUUCAUACAUUUUGCAUACAAACCUUCUGGCUGCAAGAGGAAGGUUAAUGCCAAACACCACUAUUAACUCUCAGGAAGACCAUCGUCUUGUGAUUGGAGACAUACUAAUAUGAAAUAUGAUUGUCCUAGCUGAGUCAUGAAUCACACCAUUCGUAUGCGGUGGAACAAAGUUGCCAGGUUUUAGGGUUGUUUCUUAAAGGUAAGUAAGCUCCCUAAGUUUGUCUGUAAAUUGGAAAUGAUCCCAAUAAAAACGCUAACAGGAUUUUUUUUAGGCUUGACAAACCAAUGCUAAAAUAAAUAUAGGAACAUGCAUACAAUAAUAUUAGAAACAUCCUGAAAAAGAAAAGUAAUGAGAGAUGAGAACAUCCUUACAAGAUAUUAAAAGAUAUUGUUAAGCCACAUUCAUUAAAACUGUGUGAUGAAGGCAAAAUGCAUAGAUUACAGAUCAAUGAAAUAAAAUAUGAAACCUGGAAAGGGACCCCCAAAACACACAGGACAUGAUAAAAUUGGCAUUUCAAAUCAGUGAUGAAAUUUAUUCAGUAAAUGGUAACUGGGGAGCCAUCUGGAAAAAAAUAAAGUUGGAUCUAUAAUUCAUACCUCCACCAGAAUGAAUUUUAAGUGGAUGAAAUUUUAACUUUAAAAAGCAAAGUCACAAAAGAAAUAGAACUAAAUAGGGAAGAAGAGUUUUACAAUUUAGAAUGGAGGUUUUUCUAACUUUGACCUAAAAUGGAAGCAAUAAAAGAAAAAUAUUUAUAAAUUAGACUUAAAAAAAUAAAAAUUUCUGCAUAUCAAAAACUAACACAAGCGAAGUCAAAAACAAGUUGAAAAACAUUUACAACUCAUCAAAGAUAAUGGGCAAAUUUCCUUCAUGUGUAAAAAAUUCUACAAAUCAAUAAGAAAAAGACCAACAAUUCAGUAGAAAAAUGGGCAAAGGAUAUAUAUGAAGAUUUCACAGAAAUGAGAUACCACUGGCUCUAAAUCUAAAGUUGCUGAGUUGCUUAUAUAAUACAAUAUAGUAUUGUACAUCACCUAUACCUCAGUAAAAAAAUUAAAAGAAAAUAAAGUUCCUCAGUUUGUAAGAGAAAUGCAAAUUAAAAUUGCACCAGAUGCCAUUAAAAAAAAAAUCCUGUCACAUGGAUAAAAAUAAAAUAAAAUAAAAAUGUAACACAUUAUUAGCCUGGGUGUGGGCAUAGGCACUCAUUCAUACAUUGCUGGUGGGAGUAUAAAUUGGGACAGUCUUUAUGGAGGAUAAUUUAACAGCAUAUGUUAAAAUUAUAAACACACAGAUCUCUUUGACCUAACAGUUCUACAUCCAGGAAUGUAUUCAGGAUCUUAUGCUAAGUUGAAAUGAAGUAGUUUAUUGAAGCAUUGUUUAUAGUAACAAAACUCUGGAAACAACCUAAAUGUUCAUCACAGAAUACUGGUUAAGUGAAUUAUGGUCCAUUCACAUAAUGGAAUAUGGUGCAGUUGUAAAAAAGAAUGAGGAAACUGUAUUGAUAGGGAAUGAUGUAGAUAUUUGUUAAAUGAAAAAAAAAAGAUGUAUGUGUUAUUAUGCCAUUUGAGAAUAAAUUUGUAUUUAUAAGUUGUUGUAUAUGCAUAUAACAUCUUUGGAAGGAUUCACAAAGAUGAAUUUAUGAAUUAUGGAAAGUCAUAAUCUUAAGCUGCCUUGAGAGAGGCUGGGGUAAGCAUACCCUUUCAAAUUUUUUGAUUUUUAAGUCAUAAUAAAAAUUAAACAAAGAUAGAAAGGUAAAUAAAGAACAGUUUGGAAGUUAACAUUAAGUCUGUAUCUCAGAUUAUCCAAUUCAGAAAUGUUUUUAUUCCUUACUACAAUUUCUUGGGCUAGACCUUGUCAAGGGAAUUCUUUUUCUAUCCUGGGAACGAUCUUUUGGAUUUGUGAAGUAUGUUUUAUUGCUUCUCUUUUCCUUCAAAUCUUUAUUGUCUAAAUGACUGCACAGAAGUAGACUGUCAUCUUGAAAUUGUAGGGAUUUACUUGUGGUCGAGCACUCCAUUGCCUUUUACAGUUUCAUUUUUCCAGAGGGUCCUUUGACUAGUUCUGAGUUGAUAACUGUAUGGAGACAAAGAAUUUGAUACCACAAAACACUGAAGCCCUUUUUUUUAUUCUAGUGCAUAUUGGAAAAAUGACUCUUUUAGGUCUUUGCCUUCUGAGGGAUGUGUUUCAUAAGGGAUAAAUUAUAUUUGGAUCUACCCUUUAUCGAAUAUCAAGUGAAAACUAGAACAAAGCAGGAUGAGCCUUCCUAUAUACAAUACGUUCCCAAGAAAAUAAAUACCCCCCUCUAAAAUUUUUUCUAUUCUGGUAAUAUUCUGAACAUGAAAAUAUGCUUAUGUGCCGCUUGACAUUAUUAGCAUGUCCAAGACCUAGGGUAGGUAGGAGAUCAGUUAUUUCUAUUCAAAAGGAACUAAAAGUGUGAGCACGCUUUGGAAAAGGAUCAUUAGCAAUGCAAAUGCAAAGCUACAUCUGAUAGAUAGUAAACAAAAUUAAGCCUGUUUGUGUGAUAUUUAAGAUGAGAAAUUGGCUUUGUUUAUUCUUUAUGACUUUGAAUAGCCUUGGAACUAUUUUGUUCUGUCACUGUUCUCACACUAGGUUUGGUAUAGCUUUAAAUUAUUCUCAGAAUUUGGACCGUCUGUGGGGCUCCAGAAAAUGUUCCUAUCGAUUAGCAGCUGUAGAAUGUGUUGUUUUUUUUUUUUCCCACCAUAUUUAAAUCUAGGUUUUGAAAAUACUAGUACUGUAGUAUCCAUUCACUUUUCUUAGGUCUUCAGAUCUUGACAAAACUGAGGGUAUUGAGUGUAUUGCAUCAGGGACAACAUCCUCUGUAUAGACCCUUGAGUCCUUUCUGUGUGUCAAGUCAGGAGGUGGAAGUGCAGGAAAUGUGAGCCAAGUAGGGUUGUCUGGAACAUGGUAGACAUUCAAGAAAUGGUGGUUUAUUGGAAAAUGUUGACUGGAACCUAGGGAGAUUAUACUCCUGUGCACUGACCAUUGAGUCUACUUUGGUGAUGACUUUUGCUCUCUUUGGUUUUUGUCUCAGUGAUUACCAGCCCCUGGUUUAGAAUUAUUAUUGCAAUCAUAAACUCCUUCAUGUGUUCAUAAAAACUUACUGUUCCUUAUAGUAUGUAAUAGAUAUAUUUGUAGAAUGAAUCAUUCUAGGACUUACUUUUAUAUUUAAAGAAUACCAUUGAAAAUUCUUUUUUUAAAGUGAAAAUCAUCUCCAAAUUUUUCUUUUGCAUAUGGUGAUAUUGAAUUUACUUUUAAAGUAAGGGUACGGGGCUUCCCUGGUGGCACAGUGGUUGGGAGUCCACCCGCCAAUGCAGGGGACACGGGUUCGAGCCCUGGUCUGGGAGGAUCCCACAUGCCGCGGGGCAACUGGGCCCGUGAGCCACAACUACUGAACCUGCGCGUCUGGAGCUUAUGCUCCGCAACAAGAGAGGCCGCGAUAGUGAGAGGCCCACGCACCGCGAUGAAGAGUGGCCACCGCUCGCCACAACUAGAGAAAGCCCUCGCACAGAAACGAAGACCCAACACAGCCAAAAAUAAAUAAAUAAAGAUAAAUAAAUUUAAAAAAAAAAGGGUACAUCUGUCCUGGACAAAGACUCAAAGUAACUAACAUGGUGAUUCAUGUCAUGCCUUCAUCUUAAAGUACGAAGGAAGUCACACACAUGCCUCAGUGGUGAGCAGUUAUCUGUAGUUUAUUUUAUUCUAGUGUGUGACAUGUGGCCUCUUGGCUGUGGAAAACUAAGUACAGUAUAUUACUCAUUGGAGUGAUAUAUUUUCCGCUCUUGUCCAGCUGGAACUCUAUAUAGUUAACUUUUUGAAUGCCAUGAGAAGGGCUUUUUUUCUCCUUUAGUAAUUGAGGUAUUCCUGCAGUGUGGAGUGAAUAGAUCCCUCCAUCACAGUGCAUUAUGUCAUUUACUGUGUGGGUAAAUGUAAUGCAAUCUAUUCAAAACAAAUGUAAAAUUUACUAGGGUGUUCCAUGUAUAAGUGGAAUGUAGAUACCUUUCUUGAUAUAACAGAUGGAUGAAGUUGGUUGCAGUUAACAUGUGUUAUACUAGUAAAGGUCCACCUGCUAAACUUUUUGUUCUUUGUUAAGGGAUAGAAAGUAGAGUAAUACAGAUAUGCGAGGAAAAUGAGAACUGGAAUGCAGGCCAAAAGAUAGUCUGUUGCAAAUGAAUGCUCCCAAGACUAAGUAGCAUCGUGUUCCUCUGACAGACCAGCGUGGCUGGUGGUGGUUGGUGUCCUGCAUGCUGUCUUACAUGCAUUCUCCUCGCGACUCAUAGCUGCCAGUCAUUUGGCGAUAAAAAUAGCCAGAAUACAUAUCUUUUAUAUUUUGGAGCAGAAAGAGAUAAUCCUUUUCAUCUCAACUUUUCUCUGAUAUUUUUGCAAAGGAAUUAUGUGAGUACCCUACUGCCCUUGCCUUUGGCACUCUCAUCAACAUUCAUAAUCUCAAGAGGUGUAUUUUUAUUUAUGAUUAGGUACUUGUCUUUAGUUACAUAGCAAUCAGUGUCAAAAUUAACUGGACUCUAAUGGAGUCAACAGUUCUCUCUUUAACAGUUUUUUCAGUUUCCCGAAAGUGCUACACCAUAAGCAGUAAAGUCAUGAUGCUUUCAAUAGAGAAAGAAAUUUGGUAUUUGGGGUCAGUGGGGAGAAUGAAGGGAGCCGAUUUGCAGUGAAUUGAGAUACAAGGUGUCCAGAAAGUCAGGAAAUGUGAGUUAGACUUAUUUUCAAGCAGCAUGUUUUACUUUCAAAUAACAUGCUCAGUAUAAUUUUCAUUAACCUCCAGACACCUUUCCAGGUGAUGUUUCUCUGAAUUCAAAGGAAUGGAUCCAGUUCUUAAUCCGAAAGAAAUAUAGUAAGUAUAGUGUUUCCAAAGUCUGGACACACAGGGAAAAUAGUGUGCUUAUUUUUUGAGCAUAUUACUGGAAAAUGUAACUUACAUACUAUUUAAAAAUAAGUUUAUCUUAUGUAUUUAUUGAUAUAUGUAUGUAUGUUUGUUUUACACACUAUAUUUUCUUUCUGUUUAGGAUUUCUUUUCAAGUUUCAGGCAUAGUACCACAAUAACAGUCCAGUAAACAGACUAGGCAGCUGACAAGCAGUCACCUCCCGUUAGGGUCAAGAUCUUCUGGGCAGCUUGGAGCUGCACCUUAAAUUUAGGAUGGUGGGAGAAUAAUGUGAGGCAGAUGAUAAGAGUGGAGGACAGUGUGGCUGGCUUUCUUUUUACCCUACCGGCUGGCUGUAGUCAUAAUUGAAAUCUCCAUCUUGUUUUGAGAGAAUGAAAGCUGGGAAAGGUUGAUAACUGUAGCACAUAACAAUAUUAUUUUAACAUUUCUUAUUUAUAUAUACAUAUAUAUUUUUUAAUAUUUGUUUAUUUGGUUGCGCCAGGUCUUAGUUGCAGCGUGCGGGCUCCCUAGUUGUGGCAUGUGAACUCUUGGUUGUGGCAUGCAUGUCGGAUCUAGUUUCCUGACCAAGGAUUGAACCCAGGCCCCCUGCAUUAGGAGCGCAGUCUUAACCACUGCACCACCAGGAAGUCCCUAACAUUUCUUAUUUUAAUCUGGUACCUAAUGAUGUAUAAGAACUUUUUCUCAUAUAUGCUAAUAAUGCCUUUGUGGUUGGUUUAAGUAAUAUAUCAUCUUAUUUAGAAAAACAAAAAAAUGAUGCUAAAAUCAGUAAUAUUUCUGAGGAAAACUACUAUUUCAAUGACACUUAAACUCUUUUUUUUUUUCCAGUUUAAGGAUCAGGUUUUCCACGUUAAAAUGUUGCUCUCCUUGCUAAAACAGAGACUAUCUGAUUUUUAUUGAUAAAAAGUCUUCCAAACUCUGAUGACAAGUUUUCAGAACCAGUAUGGUAGUGAAAAGUGUACGUAGCUCUGCAAGUCUGGGCAGGGAGGAAAGACUGUUCAAAUAGGGUGAAAGAAUACCACCACCCUCACGAGGCCUCAUGAAUAGUUGCCUUAAUAUUGUACAGUUGAAUCCGAAUUCAUGAGGUUACAGGAUUUAGAAAAUGUUAAGAUUGACAGGUGGCCAGUUUGGCAAUGGUGGGUAUGGAACUCAGGUGUUGGUGGAAUGACUGAAUUUAGAUGGAUGUUGGAAACUUUGUGUUCCAAAAGCUGCUUAAAUUUUUAGAUCCAUUGAGCCACACGCGAAUGGGUUUCUUUUCAUAUUUUUAACAUUUUAGCCUUGGGUAAAUCUUAUGAGGAACAUCUUGUAGUCUCGGGAUUUGACUAGGUGGUCUAUGUGACCCCCUGCAUCUCUAAGAUGAGUGCAGUCUCUCAUCCCAAAUGGUAGAACACUGUGGACGUAGGACGCACGUUUACUGGUUAGUGGUGUUUGGUAUGUUCUGUUCAAGAAGGCAGUUACAUAUUUUGAGAAAAAUUUUCAUCAAAUUUACCAUUUCAUCAAAUGAUUAAAAAUAGAAAAAUUUUAGUGUUCAAGGGAGUUUGCCCAAGGCAGUCUGUACUGCUGGGUUGUCAGGAAAAUGCUUAGUUCUCUUUUGAGUUUUAAACCAUCUUUAUAGAUGGCCACAGUGGAGGCCUAACUAUUUUAAGAGAAACGUGAUGAUGGGAAAAAUAAUAAAAGGCAUUAUGAUUUAAUAGCAAGAACACUUGUUUUGUAGUUAGGCAGAUCUGGGUUUGGAUUCUGAUUCUAUCCCUUACCAACUUUGUGACCUGGGAAAGUUAUUUAACUUGUCUGGUCCUCAGUUGCACUAACUGAGAUAAUAUAUGGCUAGUAUUUAGGCCAGCGCACAGGCACUUUAUCAGGGUUAAUGCUCUUUUCCUGCUUCAUUGUUUCAUGAUGAAUGCACGUAUUUUGUACAUAACAUACUGUCUCACAUAACCAGGCCCAGUAGUGUACUCUGUUCCACCAUUGACAAUCCACCUAGAUCUUGGUUCUUUAGGGAGACUGCUCUCAGCUGCUGUGCCCCAGGGGCAGAGGGCUGUGCAUAACUGUGCUAGUCAAGGUGAUCAUGCCCACUUCACCGGGGUUUUAUGGAGCAGCCAGCCUGGCUCUCUGUCUUUCAAAUAGCAAACACCACAGACUGUUGGUGCCUCGUUGGAUAUAAUUUAUUGACAGCUCCAGAUAUGGGGGUUUGCACUCAGGAGAGAGCCCUGCUCAUAGCCACAACACUUGGAGUGGUGGGCACAAGUAAGGCACAGGAGAUUACGGGAACAGUGGCACUGUGGCCCAGCAAUUGAACGUUGCUAAGGAUGAGAAAAAUCUCAAGCUAAAGAUGGGAAAUAUUUGAGGCCCAGUCUGCACUUGGCUUUCAUGUAUUACGUACUAAUUGAGAACACAUUCUUAUGCUUUGAAGUUCUGAAAGCUCUCCUGUCUACAUUCCAGAUUGAUGUCUGUCUGCCUUGAGUUUGCCGGUUAUUUAAAGUACUACAUCAGGGGGUUUCCCUGGUGGUGCAGUGGUUGAGAGUCCGCCUGCCGAUGCAGGGGGCACGGGUUCGUGCCCCGGUCCGGGAAGAUCCCCCAUGCCGUGGUGCGGCUAGGCCCGUGAGCCAUGGCCACUGAGCCUGCGCGUCCAGAGCCUGUGCUCCGCAACGGGAGAGGCCACAGCAGUGAGAGUACCGCAAAAAAAAAACAAAUAAAGUACUACAUCAGGGAAACACAGACCUCUGAGAGACCUUUGGUUUAUCCCCUGUACAUGAGUGGGCAUUUCUCUUCCUGCUUCUGAGUGGUUCUGCCUUUGUCUUUGUGCCUUGGUAGGUGCCGCCCACUGCCCCACCCCUGCCCCCACUUUAAACAAGGAUUAAUACUUCCCUUUAGUUGAACUGGGGCUAUUUUACAUGGAUUGGUGAUUGUAAAGCUUUUUCUGAGCAGGUGUGGUGCAAUGAAUAGUCUUUUUAAUUUCAUUUUUUUGGAUUUACAUUUUUUAUAACCUCUUCUGCAACAAAUGGUGCAACUCCAUGUCCACACUCUUUCAGUCAGUAGUUAUGGUUUUUCCAUACUUCCCAGCUGCUUAUCAUGGGCACAGCUGACAAACCAGAAGAGCCUUUCUAGUAAGGUGAGCUGAGCCGGCGUUCGAGUAAGACAAAGGACUUUAGUAUAGAAUUAGGGCUUUGACAAAGUGAACAAAUGCAAAGGCAGCUGGAAACUUGAGUGUUGCUAAUCAGGAAUAUAUUUCGUGAUUCUGAAGUUUCCAUAAUGUGUGUAUGUAAAGAAAAAUAAUCCAACAACUUGUGGGUUAAUAGAUUUUCCUGUUUCAGAAUCCAUUUGUGUGGAUUUAAAAAAUGUUUUUCAUACCUUUGAAUAUCUUACUUUCUCAAAGAACAUUACUAGCUCUCAUUUUCUUAUAUUUUUGUAUUACAACAAAAUUAUGAUUUACUUUUGAGGCUCUUUACUCAUUUGCUCUUGCCAAAUGCCCUCUAUUCAACCCAAUUACGGCAGAUCCCUUUAUCUCUAGUUGCUAAGACUCUAAGGAAGCAUUUGCUUUUAUUGUUUUAUUUAUGAUAUUGAUAAUGAGCACUCCGUAGAGUUCAAAGGGGCUUGUACUGAUUAUUAAGAAUGUAACUUCUCUGCUGGUAGUUGCUUGUAUCCGAAACAGCUUUCUACAGUAGAUAGGCCGUCUGCUUUUGGGAGAAAUCUACACUUACCUUCCAAAUUAGCAAAUAGGUAAUAUCAAAAAUAAGUACAGUAAGUCUGCUACUCCCCCAAAACAGCAUAUUUACAUAAGUUGCCUGAAAAUCAGGAUUGUGUCCCUUCCAUGUUCUCUUCCAUGCCUGAUGCUGGAGAAACUUAUGAUUAUUUUAAUUACCAUCGCUGCAGUAUUAAAAGUAAUGAAAUAUUUUAAAUGUAGGAAAGAGUGAAAAAGGGCAAAACAGCACUUGUGAGAUUUCAAAUGUAAAAGUUAUGUGGUAGGAAAGUCCUUUUUCUGUUAAUUGGGUGCUUGUAACAGUCUAUACUCUAAAACUGUUAAGGCAGAAGCACUUCACAUGUUGAAUACUCUACAGAUAUAUUUAAGAUUAGCUUGAAUUAAUGGCCUGUCAAAGCUACUCUUUGAAAAACAAAACAAAACAAAAGCGCCUCACAAACUGUCUCUUCCUUUUCCUUUUCUUGAAAGAUGGAAGAGGGAACAGUUCACAUUUUACAUCUUUACUUGAUGGGUGUAACUCCUUGAAAAACCACUCUGAGCUGAAAAGUUCCCCACACACCAAAAUGUUUUUUCAGAUGUAGGAAACAUUUUGGAUUUAUGCUGUCUUCUCAAAUUGGGAAAUAGUUGGAAUGCUUUAGAGGUGACAGUCUUGUUCUAGGAGAGGUUCAGUUGAGGUACACAUGGAAACCUUCUGGAUGAUGAUGAUGAUGAUGAUGAUAGUAAUAAUAGUAAGAGUCAUUAUUAUUACAGGAAGUGCUUCAUACUGUAAGAGCUUUACAUAUAUUAAUUUAUUUAAAUUAAGAGAUACAUAAGGAAACUGAGGUACAGACAUUAGGUAACUUGCCCACUGUCACACACCUGGUAAAUGAAAGAGUUGGAAUUUGAGCCCACAUAGUGGCUUAAAAAAUUUAUGCCCUCCACCACUUUGCUGUGUAGUGACUGAGAGGCUUUAAGUUUUCUUGUGUUGGAAUUGUGACUUUGGGUAUUUUGCUGCUAGGAAACCUUAAAAUGGAAACCAAUACUGUUUUACACAGAAGUGGGAAUAAUUGGAAUUGAAAUUGGGAAAUUCUGAGUUUGGUUCUGUAGUCAGCAAAAAGACUGCCUUUAUUUUUUGAAUCAUUCUAGAUCAGUGUUUAUUCUUUGUCACUUGAAUAUCUGUAAAUGCAUCUUGGCAUACUGGGAUACUUGUCCCCAAACUCCUGGGGAGGAGAAAUGAGAGAAGAGACAAAAGGCAUGAAAGUCACCAUCUGUCAGUGAAACUUUAGUCUGUUCUCCCACCCUUGAGGCUUUCUCUCUGGUUCCUGUUCUGGAGAGCUCCUCCCAUCUAGUUGGGCUCCUCCCUUGAGGAAGGCCCUCCUCACCUGAGAUUUGUCGUGGUACCACACUUAUCCACUGAAGUGGAAGUGUGCUUUUCUUAGAACUUUAACAGCUCUUCAACUUGAUGGAGAAGUUAGGGAAAUGAAAAAGUCUGCAGUGAUUCAAAGACUAAAUGUAUUUGAAAACCAUCUUGUGGAGGAAAGAAAACCCAGUUGAAGAGUCUCAGAAUACAGUUUUGGCAUUUAAAUCCAUUCUGUGUCAGUCUGCUCUGUGACUGUGUUGGUCUUCUGUGCAGCUUGUCAAUGUUGUCAUUACAGGUUAUAGGGAGUCACAGAUGUAUCUUGAUGCAGACAUGCUGGGCUGAGAAUAAUUUCUUAGCCACAUGCCAUAUAUGCAUUAGCCUUGAUGUGCAAAAGGUGCAUGUAGUUUUUGAUCUGGAAACCAAAAAAGCAAGUGUUUGGCCAAUCUGGGGAAUUUCUAUAAUGAAAUGUGCCAUUAAUGACAUUUCCUGAGGGCAUCUGCAGCAUGAGGCAGAACUGAAUUUUUCUUUCUUUUUUUCUUCCAUCUUUUGCUACAGAGCUCCCUUUCUUCCUCAUCUCUAUUUCCUAUCUCCUUUCCUUAACUCUGUUGGCCAGCCUGCCUGCCAGCCUGCCUAAGUAUAGUAUGUCCUGCCUUCCCCAAAGAAUUCCACUGCAGCUAGUCUGCUGUAAUGAAGAGAGUAUGACAGUUCAGAAUUCUUUACCAUAUUUAUUUUUUAAAGUUUUUUUUUCUUCUAGGGCUAUUUAUUUUGACUAAGAAGGUUAUUAUAAUUAACAAACAUUUCUUUAUCCUUACAAACCUUUUAUAAGGAGGAAGAUUAUUAGAAUUCAGAAAUAAUGUGACUAACAUUGUGCCCAAACCACAAUUUUUGUAGCUCAGAUAUUUUCAGAUACUUUAUUCUUCCAUCCUUAUUAAAACUGAGCUUAUGACAAAGUAAUAUCUUCUGUGUUUUUCAAAAAUUUUUUUGAGUGAAAGUGUAAAUUCUUAUGCCCUGUGUUUCUUUUCCUCCCUUUAUCUUUGCCUCGUGCUUUGGAGAGCCCACACAUGAUAAAACUUUUGUGAAUGAGCAUUGUCAGUUGGGGCAAUCUCAGAAAUUGUGUUUUCAAAAUUUCUUGGCUUCUUUUGACAUCCAGUAGGCUUUUCUAGGGCCACCUCUAUUUUGCAUAUAUUUUUCUUCAGUAUUGUUAUUCCCCUCCGUGGUUGACAUGCUAGUGUUUAUGCUUAUUUUUUUAACUUUAAUUUUUUUAUUGAUGUGUAGUUGAUUUAUGCCACUGUGGGGUUUUUUUUUUCUUUUUUUUCUUUUUUUUUUGCAGUACGUGGGCCUCUCACUGUUGUGGCCUCUCCCGUUGCGGAGCACAGGCUCCGGACAUGCAGGCUCAGCGGCCAUGGCUCACGGGCCCAGCUGCUCCGCGGCAUGUGGGAUCAUCCCGGACCGGGGCACGAACCUGUGUCCCCUGCAUCGGCAGGUGGACUCUCAACCACUGCUCCACCAGGGAAGCCCUGACACUGUGUUUUAACAUUGAAAAUUUGUUGAAGUUCUUCUUCCAGAUAGAACUAAGAAACUAUUUGAAAUUGAUAGGGUGACUGGAGCUAUAUGUAAGGUAUCCUUGUAUAUAAGUAUUCUAGCUUUCAAAAUUGUGUUUUCUAAUAAGUGGUACUGAUGAAUUUGUAGUGAUGAGUCUAUAGCUAUUUGCUGAUUUCUCUGUUGUAGGAGAUAGAUGGAAAGCAUGGUGAUUGCAUCCAGGCUAGCUACAUACAUGCACCUACUUGCCUUUCCCUCCCUUUUCUUUUAUCCUGUAAAGCAGUAUUUGAGAUGUAUGUGCACAUGCUGGAGUAUACUUUUCAAAAAUAAUUUUUUCUCAUAUGUACAAGAUCUGUGUUUCUGUAGAGAAUUCAGACAAUAUAGAAAAUUGUGAAGGAGCAAGAAUCACAAUUAACAGUUUGAUAAUACAGGAAUGGUCACUGUCAACAGUUUGGUAAUCGGCAUGCAUGUAUACCCACGUGCAUAUAUGCAAGCAUACGCACAUGUGCACCCUUGUGUAAUGUGAGUGAAGUUAUAUCACACGUGCUAUUUACCAACCUUUAUUUUUUUACUUAAUACUUUGUUGUGGUAUCUUUCCAUGUUAAUGAAUAUGAUCUUUUAAAAUGGCUGAAUUGUGUUCCAUUUUAAGUAUAGGUCAUACUCUCUUUCUCAUUACCGUUUUAAUAGGUAUUUAGUUUUCAGUUUUCCACUAUUGUGAACAGUGCUACACUGAGCAUAUUGGUGUGUUCAUCUUGCACACUUACAUUUUGGGGGUAGAUUUCUGUAAGUGGAGUUGCUAUUAUUCAUUUAAAAUAUAAUUAUACUUUGUCUAUGGCAGAAUAUUAAGAAAUGUAUAAUUUUAUAGGCAGCAUUCCUAAAAAGCUGACAAAUUUUGCCUUUAAGAACCUGAACUGUGCGCUUUUCGGUUGAAUGUACUGAGCAUCCAGACACACAGGGCCAAAUGCUCCAGAUUGCUGGACUUUGGGGUUCCUGGGCCUGGUUUUUGAAAUAGCUUUUUUGUCUUCUUCGUUAUGAAACUCUUUUCUCAAAUGUGCUGCUUUUAAUCUGUAGGGAGCUUGAAAACAAGAUAACCAACCUUAUCAUAUGAUGUAUAAAGUAAAAGCAAGCAGAGUCAUUACCUAUGGAGUAUUCCAGUUACAGGGGUAGGAUAGAGAAGUUGUUGAUUGGUUGACGUUAGGAUAGGUAAGGAAUUUUUUUUUAGUUUGGUGCUAUUAUUUUAUGUCCAUGUUCUGCUGGAUUAAAUUAUUUUUGUGAUAAAGCAGCAAUUUACUGCUGAAUGUAGGAGGCAAGACUAUAUAAAGUGAGAUAAAAGGCAAGCGUUUAUGAUUAGAAAAUUCCCUGCCUUCAGUUGGUGGAAGUGCUGGUGGAACAACUGCCCCUCACUCAUCUCGGCCUGGCACAGCCCACUCGUAGCAUUGUUCCUUGGGGCAGUGUGUCCUUGCCUCUGGGCAUGCUCCCUGGGCUGCCAGCCCACUCAGUGUCUUCUCCAGGGCUGGUGGUGAGGGAGUCAACCAGGACCUGACUGCUUGGGCCCUUGCAGCCCCUGCAUGGGAAGAGAUAGCUGAGCCUUGGGUUGCUGAGCAGUACUGAUCCUCCCUCCAUUCUGACUAUUUGAUUUGUGCCUGCACUGGUUGAGUACUGGGAAUGCAAAUCUGAGUCAGACUUCUUCCCUGUCUUCUUGGAGCUCACUGGGUGGAAGGUAAGAUGACUUCAAGGCAUGUAACUUGAUUGACAGCACACGAAGUACACUCUGAGUAGUGUGUAUGAGGGGGAGUUAUCCAUUCUUCCUGGGGAUACGUGAAGGCUUCCAGAAGAGAAGGGGAAACUUGGAACCAGUGGUGGGAAAUCAGAGGAAUUGGCCAGGCAAAUACCGUCAGGAGGGUGGGGAAAGGUGGUUGGUCAGAGGAGGGGGUAUGGAAAUACAUUCUAGGCAGUCGAUACAGCUCAUGCAUAAGUGUGGAGGUAUAAAACAGCUCAUGUGUAAGUGUGGAGGUAUAAAGCAGUUAUCUCCCUUUUGUGAUUCAGAGUCUGCACUGCUUCCAUGACUGGCACCAAGUGUUGGAGAAAGGUGGUGGUGGUUGUGAUAGGAGAGGAGAUGGUAGAGGCAGGCCAGACUAUGGAGGACCUUGUGUACCAUAAUGAGGAGUUGGACUUGAUCUUCUAGUGUUAGUAAUGUGCCAUCACGAGGCUUUGAUUAGCCUUGAUUCGUGGGCACAGUCAUGAGGAGCCAAUGAAAGCCUAUUGUGCUCAUUUCUUGGAGUCAUAAAAUCCCAUUUAUGAGCUGGGUAUGUGCUAAACAUUAGUACUAGAGGGAGUACGUUUAUAAUGUGACUCAUCCCUUCAGCAAGGCCAUCAUGGCCUAUAAGGUGACCAGAAAGACUCCUUUAAUAAAGGGGACACCAUUUCAGAGAGGUGGUAUAACUGCUCAGUGCUGAGAAAACUUCUGUGCAGGCAGUCCUACCUGGUAGAGGGAUAUAGGUAUAGAGGUGGCACCAAGCAUGUCCUUGCACAGUCCUACCUGACAGCCCAAUGCAGGAUAGAUGGCAGGCUAUGCAGUACAAGAAAGACCAUUUGCUGUAGUACGUUGAUUUCCGCCCUCCCCCUUCAUCCCCGCACACAGAUAUGGAUCUGUCAGGGUGUCAUGUUUGAAUACUAAGUUAAGCAAUAUCAGAGUUAAGAUAAAAAUCAGUGGUUUAGGGCUUCCCUGGUGGCGCAGUGGUUGGGAGUCCGUCUGCUGAUGCAACAGACGUGGGUUUGUGCCCUGGUCUGGGAAGAAUGCCACAUGCCGCGGAGCGGCUGGGCCCGUGAGCCAUGGCCACUGAGCCUGCACGUCUGGAGCCUGUGCUCCACAACGGGAAGAGGCCACAACAAUGAGAGGCCCACGUACUGCAAAAAAAAGAAGAAAAAAUCAGUGGUUUAAUUGAUUAAAUGAGCAUAGGGCUAGACACAUGGUUAUAACUCAGUAAAAAUUGAUUUUUUAAAACAGCUUACUUUAAAACAAAAUGGAUUUCAAAAAUUGGAAAACACUUGGUUAAAACAUUCUGUUUUUUUAAAAAAAUGUAUCCAGAGAGAUUAAGAUUUAGAACUUCUAAUUUAUAAGUUAAGACAUUUUAUUCACUUGACCUUUUAAGCAAAGUUUUAUAGGUAAGACACAAUAGGCCAUGGACUACGUUAGUAAUCUGAUAUUAAAGUGUUCUCAGAGAAUUUAUUUCUCUAUAAAUUAUUCAGUGGCGUAAAGAAAAUGGCUUUACUCAAUGGAGGGCUGUCAACUUGAAUAUCUUGUUAAGCUUUAUAUGUUUUUUUGAGGGGUAGUUGUUGGUUUAGGCAUUCUAAAUCAGAGUAUUGCUUAGAAACAAAAAAAUCGGGAAAGUUUGUGUUUCUUUGCAAGUCUGCCAUAUACACUGAGCUCAGAAGGUACAGUCUGGUAUUGGGAGGCAGACAUGAUCUUGGGCAGCGUGGACCAGAAGGCCAAGUCUUCCACUUGUGCCUCCACCACUUCGAGCUGUGUGCCCUGGAUGUCUUAUUUAUCUGUCACUUUAUCUUCUUUUGCAAAAUUGUCACAUGACAACGCUCCUGACCAUAUAGGUUUAUUGUGAGAACUGAAUGUUUUCAUUCAAACGUGAAUGAAACGUUUUAUUUAGCUUGCAAAAUGCUGUGCAAAUGUAAGAAGGGAGUGUUAGGUGUCAGAUUUUUUAGUUUGUUUUAGUGGAAUAGCAUACUCUAACUUCAGUCACAUUAGUUUAAAUAGUUCAAAGAAGUUUAAAGAGAAGGUUUAAGUGGUUUCGUUUAAAUAGUUUAAAGAAAAGGAAAAAUAUCUACUUUCACAAAUAAACUAGUUAGACAUUUUAAAAUUUAAAUUUUCGGUUAAAAUUUUUACUUGCUGAAUAAAAAUCAGAAAACAGAGUUUUUGUGGGGGAGAGAGGGGAGGGCUUAAAUGAAUUAUCUAAUGUUUUCCAAAUAUUCCUUAUUAAAUAUUUGAACUAUAAAUUGUUAACCUCUUAGGAACAUUAUAAAUAUCAUAGCCAUACAUUUGCUCUUUAGAGUUUUAAAAAAUUGCUGUUUACAGGUUAGGAAACUGCUUCUCAGAGAGGUUAAUGACUUACUCAUGAUUGCCCCAAUAGUAAGUAGUAAGAAGAGACCUGGAAUUAAAAUCUAGGCUUUUUGAUUUGUUGUCUUACUGUCAAUAUCUGAAUUUGCAGUACAAAAUAACCAGGUUAUUCAGUUUUGGGCAUUGAUUUAGACUUAAUCUAAAAAUCGUUAAAGUAGUUUAGAAUGUAUUCUUACUCCCCAACGAAAUAUUAUCUUAAUUGUAUGUAAUAUAUAUCUUAAAAUAUCCUACAAAAAUGUGUUUGUAUAGCGCAAUAAUCAAAAUUUUCUUUAACUUAAAAAAAAUUUAGAUCCAUUGGAGUUACCACUAACAAAUUUGAUCUUGAAUCAAAUUCACCUUGAGUGUAAUAUGGGGGAAUCAGUGAAAUGCUCUGAGGGGUGGCAGUUGUGACUAAAUCCACAUUUCAGGAGAAAAAGGCAGUUUGUUUUGUUGGUCUGCACAUGCUGUGAAUCCUCAGCCCUGCAGCAGGGGUCCUCCAGGGACUAUGGCACACGCAGCCCAUCAGUGACAGCCAAACUGUUGUGAGGUGACAUCUGAAGGAGACAGAGUCCUUGCUGCCUGUUUAGCUCACUGACUUUAAGUGUAGAGAAUGGGCUUUGUGGUCCAAAUCCACUUAAUCCACAUUGAGAGGGAAAAGAGAAGGGAUUUGAUCCCAGUGCCUAGUACAGAAAGCAGUAAAAAUUUAGUCAUUAUUAAUGUUAACUAUUAGAGGCCUUCCAGUUUACCUUCAAAACAGAGGAAGUUGAUUUUCAUGUCUACACUUAGUCCGUCUUGCUGCUGUUUAAGCCUCUGGUUACAGGAGAGCAUCUCAACAGUAUUUCACAGAAUGGCCCAGUGCCGUCUGGUACCUGUGAAACUCUUGAGUGGACUUGGAUGCCACUUCCUUUGCAUGGUUCUGGUUGUUGUUUGGAGCCCACAGCAUCACUCUCCUUGAGCAAGUAGGCAGGCAGCAUUGUAUUGGUUAAGAUUGUGGGGUCCUGAAGUUCAGAGUUAGAAGCCUGCUUGUAAUGGUAUCUCUUAACCUUGGGCAAUUAACUUAGUCUCUUGGAGUCUUGUUUUCUUCAUUUGUAAUAUGAGGAUGAUAAUAUUUACCUUAUCAACAUGCUGUAAUGUACUAAGCACAGCAUUUGGCACCUGGUCAGCCCAGGUAGUGGUUCGUUAAGAUUGUGAUUUUUAUGAUUAAAUCAAAUAUUGUGUGAUUUUAAUCUUGAGAAUAAUUUUCUCUGAGUUAGGGAGCAAACUGAAUUUGUUGACUGGUGUCAUUAGGGUGCUUGUUUGUGAGAAGAGGAAGGAUGACCUUAGAUUGGAUGGCCGAAUGGAAGUUUGGGAGGCUGAGGAGAGUGAAUUGUUUGGCUUUCUAAAAAGACAGUCAAUGUCUGUUAUUUGAAAAUGCGUUUUGAUUGAAAACAUUGAGUUUGCCUGAUUGUGGAUUAAAUCCUUAUAUGUGACUGGACUGAGAAAAUUACUGAUAUUGGCACUCCAGUUUCUCUUACACAUUGAAACCUACUCUUUCUCUGCAAGUGCAGACUCCAUCUCUGUCUUUCAACUGAGGGAAAAACAAGAUCCUCUUUUGUUUUUUCUAGAAUCUAUCUUCACUUAUUGAAUUGGGUGGAAAGUUUGAGCAGUGAGUCAUUCCUCUUUGGGGGAUCACCUGAAUCUUCUUGCUGCAACGCCCUCAGAGCUGAAUUCUUAGUGGGAAAACACGUACAGCAUCCAUGUACUUAAAGGAUUGGUGCUUUCUGGACUAUUUGAGUAACUGAACAUUACAGAAAGAACUGAAAAACAAGCAAAAUCACUUAUCCCAAAGUGACUGGUUCUUCAAAUCCCUACUUCCCAAGUCUGAAUGAACUCUUAAGAAGAGAAUGUUUUCUCUGUGAGUGAGGGUCAAAGUGGCCUGAUACUUAAAGUGAGAAGAUGGAACAGAAUGAAGAGCAUGGAUCAGGGAGUCCAGAAAGCUGGCUUCUCGCCUUGCUAUUUUAUGAUUGUGAUACCCUGAGCAAGGUGGUUCCCUUGUCCGGCUUCAGUUUUUUCACCUGUAUGGUCAGGGGCUGUAGAUGAUCUCUAGGGUUAUGGGUUGGAAGUAGCUUUGUGCACCCUUCCUUAAGCGCAUAGGCAGACAUUCUUGAAGCAUCCUUGGCCGCUUGUCAUUCCAUCUCUAUUUGGCUAUUUCAUUCAUUGGCUUGGCUUCUCUUCUAGAGAUUCAGAAUCCUUGAUUUUCAAGGCAGUUUUGAAGAACUUAAUGUUAGGUAGCUUUUCACGUUGGGUGGAUUCCUAGCCCUCCAGUAGUCGUAAUUCUAUCUUUUCCAUCUCUCACAUGACAUAUCUUCAGAUAUUGAACAAGCGUUAUGUUGAUUCUUCUCUGAGUUAUGCUGCCAAAGCUCUUUGUACCAUGCCUCUUUAAUGUAGUUUCAGACUCUUUGUAAUCAUGCUAGCUUUCCUGAAAUGUUCCCGUUUUUCAUUGCCACUUUUAAAAUGUGGUCCUCAGAAGAGCUUAUAGUACUUCAAAUAGGGUGUGACCAGCACGGGGCGUGCUAAGAAGGUUUAAAAAUUGUGAUUUCAUUAGUAUAGCCCAAGUUGAUAUGUUUUUUGGGUUUAUUUUAUAGACAGCCAUGACCUGUUUGAAACAUGUAUGUAACUGAUCCUUGGUGUGUUGUUUUUCACGUGAAUUGCUCAUAGUAAGGCCUUAUGUUAUAGACGAGCAGCUUUUGUUUUUACAUCCAGUGUAGUACUUUAUCUUUCUUUUUGUGAGUCAUUUUGUAUCUGUGUCUUGUUCUGGACUGCUAAAUCCUUCUGAACUUUCCAUCUUCCCUGGUUAUUAGGGAUCCCCACAAGUCGUCUCCUCGUUCUAACUGAUCCUGCCUCUGAGUACAUCCCAAGUUUGUCUGCUGAUGAAAAUGUUGACCAGGUAAAUUCAAAUAUAGUCUCUUAUGGCUUCCUGUUAGGGUCUUUCUGCCCUUUACAUUUGACUUGUGGGGAACCCUGACAGUGGUUUCAGGCUCCAAUAGACAGUGUAUUUCAUGGUUGGAUGUAAUUUGUGUUGGUUUGAAGCCUUGAAUUCAAACAACUUUCUCAUUAGUUUAUCAUCUAUCUUGAAAAUUCUGUAAGUUUUAAUUUUUGUAUACAUUUGGACUCCCAAUGCUAGCUUUUUUUCAGUUGUGCUCUAGUUAGCUUUUACUUUAGUGAUCUCUAAUAAUUGCUCCCUAGCCCCCAUCCUUUCUCUUCAUUCAGUCUCCCCAUGGUUUCCUGACCUCUGGAGUGCCCAGUACUGAGUGCUGAACAAGAGGGGGCUGGUGGAACAACAGAAGAGAAAAUCUCUUAUGUUAGCGUUUCCAGUAUUCUUCCAGAGGUACCAGUAUGAGUACACACCAGUUUUUCAAAAGACUGUAACUUUAGACCGUUUAAAUAUAAUCUGUGGGGAGAUAAGGUUUAAAAAGCAGUGACAAGGAGAAUAUACUGAAAUCUUAUUCCAGAUUUUCUGAGUGAUGCUGUAUGUUGCAAAGAACUUUUUAUAGCAAAUAAAGGAUGUAUACUGAGAUAGGUUAAAAAUGUGAAUGAAAUCUACCUGGCAAAAUAACUGGUAAAAACAUUAGUUAUAAGUAUGUAAUGGGAUAUUACUACAUCAAAAAUACCACAGAAGUUCUCUCUAGUGAUCUGUGUGAAGAGAAGUAUUGGAGUUUGACAUGGAGAUAGUUAUAUAGAUUGGCCACAUCUGCAUAUUUUUUUAAUUCUGUGACUUAUACUUUGUAAUGGAAUUUCCUUUGUUGCAUCAAUUUAUAUGACCUUUUCUUAGUUUAUUAGAAAAGAAACUUUAGCGUAAAUGUUUCCAAAAUAAUAUCACUGCCCAAAUGUCCUAUUAAGCCAGUCAUUUUAUGAAUCAGCAAGACCAGUCUCAUCUCGCCUUGCUACCAUUUUUUGGUCUUUCUUCCUUUCUUCCUCCUGCAAGUGAGCGCGUAUCUAUAUGCUUAAGUAGGUACCCACACUGAUACCCACUCUCCUUUUUCUCAGCCCAGCUCCAGGGGUGAAAGGAAAGAUUGCAAAAACAUCUCAGAAGUCUUAUGAAGAUGGGACAAAGUUUAAGGAAUAUCCUAUCAUUCUGUCACUCUUAAAAUAUUCUUUUAUGGAACAUGUACAUCCCAAGUUAUGGUAGCAAUUAGUAGCUCUUUCUGUGUUUGAGCUGCUUUUUAGUGUAAAGUAUUAGCAGUAAUAGAGCACACACUCUGUAGAGUUAAAUGAUCUUAUCUGUGAAGUUAGAAAAGAUGACUAUAUCAAUUGUAAGUACAGUUGAGAAUGAUUUUGAAGAUGUAUCUAUAAAUGCUUGACAUUUUAAUAUAAUUAUUAGUUUAAGUAGAACUUUUAAAACUACAAUGAAUUAUAUCACUAUUAUCUAUAUCACUAUAUCACUAUUAUCAUUGGAAUUUUGCUUUAGUUAUAUUUGGCUCCCAAUUAUAAAAGCUUUAUCAUUUGGAGCAUAAGCUUAAACUUUUGCAGCAUGGAUUUUAGGAGCAGUAUAGAGAUGAAUCUCCAGUGAUUCUAUUUUUUAUUACAGGAAAUGUUAUGUCCAGAAGCUGUCCAAAUGAAGGUGUUUUUAAUGAUUAACUUUCUACACAGAACAAGAUACUGUAUGAUUUCUAGAUUACAGUGCUCUAGGGGGUGCAUAUAGAAAUUGGAACUCUGAUAGGAUUCAGUUUUAUUAAAUACAUAAGGUUUUGCACCUUAAAGGUUAAGUAUCCAAUUGCACCCAACUAGGAAAUUCAAAGUUAUGAUUUUCACAGUAACUGUUAUGUUGUCCCUAUGGGCAGAUUUAGAAUUUGCAUUGUUGGGUGUAAUGUAUAGUUGAUUCUUACAUUUAAUGAAUGACAGAAAUUAACUUCAUUUUUCUAUGUACUUUAAUUUGGCAGUAUUCAUUGAUCAGUAAUAACUUGAACAUAUACUAUGUGAUACGCCCUGAGAUAUAGAAAUGAAGAAAUCAAACAAAAAACCCUGCUCUAUGUUGUACUCUUAGAUAAUAGGGGGGAUGCAGGAAUUUAACUCUGUGAUCCCAUGAUAAAAUUAAGGGAAUAAUUGUGCAUUGCACCAGGAAUGCUUACACAUGCUGCUUACAAAUGAUGUCACUUGCCAAGUUUACACAUCUGAUUUAGAGGAAACAAAGAUUUCAGACUUAAUUGAGGACACAUGUCUUUGGUAUCUUUCUUGCAGUAACUCUUUCUAGUCCUUGAAGACUAUCAUGAAACCAUCAAUAGGACUUAACUUUAAAAAACCUCUGGCUGAGGUAGCAAUUUAAGAUUGAGUGAUUAUUGACUGGGGCAUGGUUUUCAUAUUACCAAAAAUCUAACGGUUUUAAGGUUCAGACCUCUUUUGGGGCUGUUAAAGCUAUGAUAUUGUUCGUAAAAAUAAAAAUCUGAAAUUAAAAAUGGCGUGGGGUUUCCAAACUGUGUGCCAUGUGGUCAGUUCAGUUUUUCUUGACAUAGAGCAGGGAGCCAUUGUAAACAGGACCGUUCUAAUCCAUAUGCAGCUGGCAGCUUCAGUCUUUCACAGACUAACAAGUAAGACCACUAUGAGCUCUAUAGCUUCUUUAGUUUUCGCAUGGGUGCUUCAUCACAUGGAGGCCAGGGGAGGAGGAGCCAGGGAGAAGGAACACUUUGUCUUCAGACUUAGAAAGUACACUUGGAAAAGAAAAGAGAAUCUUUUGAAUAAAAUCAGAAGGGAAAACAUGCAUACAAACAAGAUUCUGGAAUCCUACAAAAUAAUAACAUACUCAAACUCUUUGCAUGGGAGUUUUUUGGCCAAUUUUUUUUGGCCAGUGUAAGAUUUUUGUCAUAAAAGGAAGCAGUUUUUAAUGCUUAGUUCUUAGUUUCCAAUCAUGUGAGCUUCGUGACAUUUAAACAGUAUUUUUGACAAUGAGAACAAUUAAAUUAUGUGGAAAUUUAGCCCCUAAAAUAUAUUUUCCAGUAUCUCUCCCUGGAUACUAUUAGCUGUAGUCUUGUCUACUAAGAGAUGAAUUAGGUGACCUCAUAAAGUCUCUUUAGUACCCAUCCUGGGAGAUGUUUAAAAAAUAUAUUUUAUAUAUACCACAGGACCCCUACCUCCUCAUUUCCUCUGUCAGUUGAAUUCUUAAAAUGAUUACAUUUUUUCUUGUUCCCUGUGACUAAAUUUUAUUUAUUUUCCAGUCUUUAGGCAAAGAAUGGCAUAAAUUAGGGCAGGUAGAAAACCUCAAAGAGCUUCCUCCAUUCUCCUGAAGCUCAUAUUGUGUCCAUCUCCUGUAUGACUACCACCCACGAGGGGAAACUCCCAUCCCUGUUCUGCUCUCUUUUGUUCAUAUUUAUUGUUGGGCAGCAGACCUUAAGGUAGACAAGGGCGGGUGGGUUUUAAAGAGGAAACUCCUAUUUAAACUCCUGUUUUUAAGAGGAAGUUCACAUUCCUGAAACUCUUGCUGUUAUUUUCUCCCGGUAGCUGUCUCUUCUUUUUUUUCAGGGGAGACAUGGGAGAGAGAUAUUAAAUCCAAGAAAGCGGGGGGAUUUUCACCACCUCUUUUAUCCUCCUUCAUGGCCCUGCUCAUCUUUUCCUUUUCCAGACUGCUUCUUUACAAAUCAGACCUGGGGAGUUAUUUUCCCCACAAAAUAGAUUCUGCUAUCAGUUACUGUGCUUCAGGAAGUCUGGGGCUUGAGUCCUGAGAAUCUCUAUGUUUCUUGAGUUAUGCAGGUGCCUUUGAUGCCCAAUUAGAUUUGAGAACUGUUGGAUACCUGUGCACCGCAGAUACUUAAGGAGUUCUGAGUCCUAGGUCACAGGAGUCAAUACCAGUGGGGCUUAGAGCAUGGCAGAUAGGUCCACAGGUAUCGGGGGUUCGUGACCUGACAACCAAAGCUUCACAGAGUGAGAGUGCAGUUGAACUUAACUGAAGUCAGCCUGUUGUGGGGGCUGGUGUUUACAGUGCCCUGUUUAAAGUUUAUUAGAGAGGGGAGCUAUCAAGAUGGCAGAGGAAUAGGACGUGGAGCUCACCUCCUCCCACAAAUACAUCAGAAAUACAUCUACACAUGGAAAAAUUUGCACAGAACAUAUACUGAACGCUGGCAGAAGAGCUCAGACUUCCAAAAGGGCAAGGAAACCUCCACGUAACUGCGUAGGACAAAAGAAAAAAGAAAAAAAAAGGGAGGGAAAGGAAUCAGGAUGGGACCUGCACCCCAGGGAGGGAGCUCUGAAGGAGGAAAGGUUCCCACACCUGGGACGUCUGCUCGUGGGCAGGGAGAUCAGCUUGGACAGAGGGGGAGCUUUGGAACCUUGGAGGAGAGCACAGCAACCGGUUUGUGGUAGGCAAAACAGAGAGUAACCUGCACAGACGGUCAGUACCGCCACCCUGUGCUCCCUACCCUGGUUGCUUGUCUGCCGGUAUGAGCAGGGGCUGAGUGCUGAAGUUCAGGCUUCAGAAGUCAGACCCAGGGAGAUGACCAGGGUUGGCCGUGGGAGACAGCCAGACAAGGCUGGAGUGUGGCAACAGAGGGUAUCCUUGGAAGAAGCCUGGGCCCACCAGAGACGCAAGGCGGCACCAUUGUUGGGGGAUGUGUGAGGAGAGGGGAGGCACUGCCAUAGGAGCUUCUUUGCCUGUGUGUGCUCUCAAGCAACAGGACACCACCUGCACAAGCUUCUGGGAUGGGCGCGAGCCACCGCCGCCGUUCUGGGCUCCGGAGGUGGGCACGGACUGCUGCCACCACUAAGAGACCCACAGGCAGGCGCCAGUUGCUUCCCCUGCUGUCCCAGGAGUGCAUGGGCUGCUGCUGCCACUACAAGACCUGUGAGCAGGCAUCAGUCAUGGCUCCUACCAUCCGAGGAGAGUGCAGGGACAGCACAUGGGCUAUGAGCAGGUGCCAGUCGCUGCCCCUGCCAUCCCGGGAGUACGCACAGGCCGCUGCUGCACCUUCCCACCCCCGUAUCAAGGGGAUGAUGGCCAGCACAUGCUGAGGAGAGAGGCAGCAAGCAACCAAACUAAAACCAGCCCCUUGAUUCCAGACAAGAUGGUUGAGUGGAAAGACUUGAGCUCACCUCCUCGCAGAAAAACACCGUAAUCACAACUAACUGCUGAACAGCCAUUGACAGAAAAGACUGGAACCUACCAAAAAAGAUAUUUUACAUCCAAAGACAAAGAAGAAGCCACAGUAAGAUGAUAGGAGGGGUGCUUUCAUGAUGUAAACAAAUCCCAUACCCACUGAGUGGGCGACCCAUAAACUGGAAAAUAAUUAGAUCGCAGAGGUUCUCCCAGAGGAGUGAGAGUUCCGAGCCCAGCGUUAGGCUCCCCAGUCUGAGGGUCUGGAAUUGGGAGGAGGAGCCCCCAGAGCAUUUGGCUUUGAAGACCAGUGGGGCUUGAGUGCAGGUGCUCCACAGGGCCGGGGGAAACAGAGACUCCACUCUUGGAGGGCACACACAAGGUUUCAUGUGCACUGGGAACCCAUCACAAAGCAGUGACUCCCUAGGAGCCUGGGCUGGACCUACUGGUGAAUCUUUGAGGGUCUCCUGGGGAGACGGGUUGGCUGUGGCUCACUGUGGGGGCAAGGACACUGGUGGCGGAGGCCCCAGGGAAUAUUGAUCUGCGUGAGUGCCCUUGGAGGUCGCCAUUUUGGCAUGGAGACCUGGCCCAACCCAGCAGCCUGCAGGCUCCACUGCUGGGGCAACUCAGGGCAAACAACGAGGAGGGUGCUGCCCCAUCAACAGACAGGCUGCCUAAAGUCAUAUGGAGCUCACAGACACCCCUAAACACACCACUUGGUGUGGCCCCACCCACCAGGACAAGACCCAACUCCACCCACCAGUGGGCCGACACCAGUCCCUCCCACCAGGAAGCCUGCAUAAGCCCCUGGACCAACCUCACCAGAACCAAGAGGAACUACACCCUUGCAGUCUGCAGAAAGGAGACCACAAACAUGGAAAGUUAGACAAAGUGAAAGGGCAGAGAAAUAUGGUCCAGAUGAAGGAACAAGAGAAAAACCCAGAACAACAACUAAGUGAAGUGGAAAUAGGCAGCCUACUUGCUGAAGAAUUCAGAGUAAUGAUAGUAAAGAUGAUCCAAGGUCUCAGAAAAAGAAAUAGAGGCACAGACUGAGAAGAUAAAACAAAUGUUUAACAAAGAGCUAGAAGGCUUAAAGAACAAACAGAGAUGAACAAUACAAUAACUGGAGUGAAAAAUACACUAGAAGGAAUACAUCGGAGAAUAAGUGAGGCAGAAGGAUGAAUAAGUGAGCUGGAAGACAGAGUGGUGGAAAUCACUGCUGCAGAACAGAAUAAAGAGUAUGAAAACAAAUGAGGACAGUCUCAGAGACAUCUGGGACAACAUUAAGUGCACCAACAUUUGCAUUAUAGGGGUCCCAGAAGGAGAAGAGAGAGAGAGAGAGAGAAAGGGCCUGAGAAAAUAUUUGAAGAGAUUAUAGCCAAAAACUUCCAUAACAUGGGAAAGGAGACACUCAAGUCCAGGAUGCUCAGAGAGUCCCAUACAGGAUAAACCCAAGGAGGAACAUGCGAGACACAUAGUAAUCAAACUGAGAAAUAUUAAAAACAAAGAGAAAAUAUUAAAAGCAAGAAAUAACACACAAGGGAAUCCCCAUAAGGCCAUCAGCUGAUUUUUCAGUAGAAACCCUGCAGGCCAGAAGGGAGUGGAAUGAUAAGUGAUGAAAGGGAAAAAUGUACAACCAAGAAUACUCUACUCAGCAAGGUUCUCAUUCAGAUUCCACAGAGAAAUCAAAAGCUUUACAGACAAGCAAAAGCUAAGAGAAUUCAGCACCACCAAACAAGCUUUACAACAAAUGCUAAGGGAAUUUCUCUAGGUGGAAAAGCAAAGGAGACAACUAGAAACAAAAUUAUGAAUGGGAAAGAUCACUGGUAAAGGCAAACAUACAGUACAGUCAGGAAAUCAUCCACACAAAAAUAUAUCAAAACCAGCAGUCGUGAGAAGGAGAGUACAAACACAGGAUAUUGGAAAUGCAGUUGAAUUGAAGAGACCAACCACUUAAAACAAUCUUGUAUGUUAUAGAGUGCUAUAUCAAAACCUCAUGGGAGGGACUUCCCUGGUGGUGCAGUGGUUAAGAAUCUGCCUGCCAAUGCAGGGGACACAGGUUUGAUCCCUGGUCUGGGAUGAUCCCACAUGCCAUGGAGCAACAAAGCCCGUGUGCUACAACUCCUGAGCCUGUGCUCUAGAGCCCAUGAGCCACAACUACUGCACGCCACAACUACUGAAGCCCGUGCGCCCUAGAGCCUGCGUGCCACAACUGUUGAGCCCACGCCCCGCAACUACUGAAGCCCACGUGCUCUAGGGCCCACGUGCCACAGCUACUGCGCCCACGUGCUGCAACUACUGAAGCCCGUGUGCCUAGAGCCUGUGCUCUGCAACAAGCCACUGCAGUGAGAAGCCUGCGCACCACAAUGAAGAAUAGCCCCUGCUCACCACAGCUAGAGAAAGCCUGCACACAGCAGUGAAGACCCAAUGCAGCCAAAAAAACCCACCAAACCUUAUGGGAACUGCAAACCAAAAAUCUAUAAUAGAUGCACACACAAAAAAGAAAAAGCAAUCCAAACAGAACACUAAAGAUAGUCAUCAAAACACAAGAGAACAAAAGAGGAAGGGAAGAAAAAAAGACCUACGAAAACAAAUCCAAAACAAUUAACAGAAUGGAGUAAGAACAUACGUGUCGGUAAUUACCUUAAAUGUAAGUGGAUUAAAUGCUCCAACAAAAAGACACACUGGCUGAAUGGAUACAAAAAGAAGACCCGUAUAUAGGCUGUGUACAAGAGACCCACUUCAGAUCUAGGGACACAUACAGACUAAAAAUGAGGGGAUGGAAAAAGGUAUUCCAUGCAAAUGGAAAUCAAAAGUAAGCGGGAGUGGCAUUACUCAUAUCAGACAAAAUAGACUUUACAAUAAACACUGUUACAAGAGACAAAGAAGGACACUACAUAAUGAUCAAGGGAUCAAUCCAAGAAGAAGAUACAACAAUUGUAAAAAAUUUGCACCGAACAGAGCACCUCAAUAUAAGGCAAAUGCUAACAGCCAUAAAAGGAGAACUUGACAGUAACACAAUAAUAAUGGGAAACUUUAACACCCCACUUACAUCAGUGGACGGAUCAUCCAGACAGAAAAUCAAUAAGGAAACACAGGCCUUAAGUGACCCAUUAGACCAGAUGGACUUAAUUGAUAUUUAUGGAGCAUUCCAUCCAAAAGCAGCAGAGCACACAUUCUUCCCAAGUGCACACAGAACAUUCUGCAGGAUAGAUCACAUGCUGGGCCACAACGCAUGCCUUCGUAAAUUUAACAAAAUUGAAAUCAUAUCAAGAAUCUUUUCUGACCAUAACGCUUUGAGGUUAGAAUCAAUUACAAGAAAAAAACUGGGAAAAAAACACACAAACACAUGGAGGCUAAAUAAUACGUUAGUAACCAAUGGAUCACUGAAGAAAUCAAAGAGGACAUCAAAAACAUACCUAGAGACAAAUGACAACAAAAACAUGACAAUGCAAAACCUAUGGGACGCAGCAAAAGCAGUUCUAAGAGGGAAGUUUAUAACGAUACAAGAUUACCUCAGGAAACAACUCAAACAACCUAACCUUACACCUGAAGCAACUAGAGAAAGAAGAACAAACAAAAUCCAAAGCUAGUAGAAGGAAAGAAAUCAUAAAGAUCAGAGCAAAAAUAAAUGAAAUAAAAACAAAGAAAACAAUAGCAAAGAUCAAUGAAACUAAAAGCUGGUUCUUUGAAAAGGUAAACAAAAUUGAUAAACCUCCAGCCAGGCUCAUCAGGAAAAAAAGGGAGAGGGCUCAAAUCAAUAAAAUUUAAAAAGAAAAAGGAGAAGUUACAACUGACACCAUAGAAAUACAAAGGAUCCUAAGAGACUACUACAGGCAACUACAUGCAAUAAAAUGGACAACCUAGAAGAAAUGGAGAAAGUUUUAGAAGGGUUCAACCUUCCAAGACUGAACCAGGAAGAAAUAGAAAAUAUGAACAGACCAAUCACAAGUACUGAAAUUGAAUAUGUGAUUUAAAAACUUCCAGUAAACAAAAGCCCAGGACCAGAUGGCUUCACAGGCGAAUUCUACCAAAUAUUUAGAGAAUAGUUAAUGCCUAUCCUUUUGAAACUCUUCCAAAAAAUUGCAGAGGAAGGAACACUCCCAAACUCAUUCUCUGAGGCCACCAUUACUCUGAUACUAAAACCAGACAAAGACACCACAAAAAAAAAAAAGAGAGAAAAUUAGGGCUUCCCUGGUGGUGUGGUGGUUAAGAAUCUGCCUGCCAAUGCAGGGGACACGGGUUUUAGCCCUGGUCUGGGAAGAUCCCACAUGCUGCGGAGCAGCUAAGCCCGUACGCCACAACUACUGAGCCUGCGCUCUAGAGCUUAGGAGCCACAACUACUGAAGCCCCUGCACCUAGAGCCUGAGCUCUGCAACAAGAGAAGCCACCACAAUGAGAAGGCUGUGCACCACAACGAAGAGUAACCCCUGCUCUCUGCAACUAGAGAAAAAAGCCCGUGUGCAGCAACAAAGACCCAGUGUUGCCAAAAAAAAAAAAAAAAAAAAAAGAUGAGAAAAAGAAAA